rnacentral:rRNA from 1 species
UGGGGAAUAUUGGACAAUGGGCGAAAGCCUGAUCCAGCCAUGCCGCGUGUGUGAAGAAGGUCUUCGGAUUGUAAAGCACUUUAAGUUGGGAGGAAGGGCAGUUACCUAAUACGUAUCUGUUUUGACGUUACCGACAGAAUAAGCACCGGCUAACUCUGUGCCAGCAGCCGCGGUAAUACAGAGGGUGCAAGCGUUAAUCGGAAUUACUGGGCGUAAAGCGCGCGUAGGUGGUUUGUUAAGUUGGAUGUGAAAUCCCCGGGCUCAACCUGGGAACUGCAUUCAAAACUGACUGACUAGAGUAUGGUAGAGGGUGGUGGAAUUUCCUGUGUAGCGGUGAAAUGCGUAGAUAUAGGAAGGAACACCAGUGGCGAAGGCGACCACCUGGACUGAUACUGACACUGAGGUGCGAAAGCGUGGGGAGCAAACAGGAUUAGAUACCCGUGUAGUCCCUGAGCGGGCUGGCAAGGCGCAU